AAUGGUUGGUUUGGAGCCAUUCUAGACGAUGAUCUAUCUCUAUUUCAAUUUUCGAUCAUACUCAUCCAGCCCUUAUUGCGACACAUCAGGAUGCCAUGAGUAGCCUGAAGUAGAACCUUUUUCAGAAGAAGAUCUUGAUAGAGACCAUGGCCUCUUUUCCAUAUGCUGGGUUCAUUGCAGGGAAUGUGGAGGCCAACGGUCAUCGGAAUUGGCAUGCAAAGUGUGUC
rnacentral:lncRNA from 1 species